UACGUAGGGUGCAAGCGUUGUCCGGAAUUAUUGGGCGUAAAGAGCUCGUAGGCGGUUUGUCGCGUCUGCUGUGAAAACUCGGGGCUCAACUCCGGGCCUGCAGUGGGUACGGGCAGACUAGAGGUAGGUAGGGGAGAAUGGAAUUCCCGGUGUAGCGGUGAAAUGCGCAGAUAUCGGGAGGAACACCGGUGGCGAAGGCGGUUCUCUGGGCCUUACCUGACGCUGAGGAGCGAAAGCGUGGGGAGCGAACAGG
rnacentral:rRNA from 1 species